rnacentral:lncRNA from 1 species
GUUUCUUUACUGGGAAAGUUCCGUAAUGUGAGGCAUCGAUGCGCGGCGGUGCAUCCGCGGGGACACGGCCUGGGGCACACGGCCCAGCACUGCUUAUGUGUGCAUAGGCUGCAGCUGAUGGAUGGACAGAUGGACAGACAGGCAGACAAACGGACAGGCAGACAGACAGAUGGAUGAAUAGGCAGAUGGACAGGCAGACAGAUGGAGCAGUGGAUGGACAGGCAGAUGGACGGGCAGACAGAUGGAUAGACAUGUGGACAGGCAGUCAAAGAGAUAGACAGAUAGGCAGACAGAUGGACCGAUAGGCAGACAGGUGGACAGAUGGGCAGGCAGACAGAUGGACAGGGAGACAGACAGGCAGACAGAUGGACGGACAGGUGAACAGGCAGGCAGACAAACAGAUAGACAGGCAGACAGAUGGACAGGCAGACAGACGGAUGGACCAUUGGACAGAUGGACGGGCUGACAGAUAGACAGGCAGUCGGACAGCUGGCCAUGGCAGUCCUGUGGCACUGGGCAGCCCUGGCGUUCCGUGUGCCCGGGGCCGGGCUGCCCUCCUCCAGCUGUGGUUCCACACAGGUGAAUAUUUU